AUUGAACGCUGGCGGCAGGCUUAACACAUGCAAGUCGAGCGGGGGAAGGUAGCUUGCUACCGGACCUAGCGGCGGACGGGUGAGUAAUGCUUAGGAAUCUGCCUAUUAGUGGGGAACAACAUCUCGAAAGGGAUGCUAAUACCGCAUACGUCCUACGGGAGAAAGCAGGGGAUCUUCGGACCUUGCGCUAAUAGAUGAGCCUAAGUCGGAUUAGCUGGUUGGUGGGGUAAAGGCCUACCAAGGCGACGAUCUGUAGCGGGUCUGAGAGGAUGAUCCGCCACACUGGGACUGAGACACGGCCCAGACUCCUACGGGAGGCAGCAGUGGGGAAUAUUGGACAAUGGGGGGAACCCUGAUGCAGCCAUGCCGCGUGUGUGAAGAAGGCCUUAUGGUUGUAAAGCACUUUAAGCGAGGAGGAGGCUACUCUAGUUAAUACCUAGGGAUAGUGGACGUUACUCGCAGAAUAAGCACCGGCUAACUCUGUGCCAGCCGCCGCGGUAA
rnacentral:rRNA from 1 species